UACGUAGGGGGCAAGCGUUGUCCGGAAUCAUUGGGCGUAAAGCGCGUGUAGGCGGCUCGGUAAGUCUGCUGUGAAAGUCCAGGGCUCAACCCUGGGAUGCCGGUCGAUACUGCCGGACUAGAGUCCGGAAGAGGCGAGUGGAAUUCCUGGUGUAGCGGUGGAAUGCGCAGAUAUCAGGAGGAACACCAAUAGCGAAGGCAGCUCGCUGGGACGGUACUGACGCUAAGGCGCGAAAGCGUGGGGAGCGAACAGG
rnacentral:rRNA from 1 species